GUGGGUAUAGCUCAGUGGUAGAGUGCAUGCUUAGCAUGCAGGAGGUCCUAGUUUCAAUCCCCAGUACCUCCA
rnacentral:tRNA from 1 species